AGCGAACGUUGGCGGCAGGCCUAACACAUGCAAGUCGAACGAAGUCUUCGGACUUAGUGGCGGACGGGUGAGUAACACGUGGGAACGUGCCUUUAGGUUCGGAAUAACUCAGGGAAACUUGUGCUAAUACCGAAUGUGCCCUUCGGGGGAAAGAUUUAUCGCCUUUAGAGCGGCCCGCGUCUGAUUAGCUAGUUGGUGAGGUAAAGGCUCACCAAGGCGACGAUCAGUAGCUGGUCUGAGAGGAUGAUCAGCCACAUUGGGACUGAGACACGGCCCAAACUCCUACGGGAGGCAGCAGUGGGGAAUCUUGCGCAAUGGGCGAAAGCCUGACGCAGCCAUGCCGCGUGAAUGAUGAAGGUCUUAGGAUUGUAAAAUUCUUUCACCGGGGACGAUAAUGACGGUACCCGGAGAAGAAGCCCCGGCUAACUUCGUG
rnacentral:rRNA from 1 species